rnacentral:tRNA from 1 species
UGCGGAUUGAUGUAAUUGUAACAUAAUAGGCUCAUGACCUGUAAUUGGAGGUGCGAAUCCUUCGUCCGCAU